rnacentral:rRNA from 1 species
AUUGAACGCUGGCGGCAGGCCUAACACAUGCAAGUCGAGCGGAUGAAGGGAGCUUGCUCCUGGAUUCAGCGGCGGACGGGUGAGUAAUGCCUAGGAAUCUGCCUGGUCGUGGGGGAUAACGUCCGGAAACGGGCGCUAAUAUCGCAUACGUCCUGAGGGAGAAAGUGGGGGAUCUUCGGACCUCACGCUAUCAGAUGAGCCUAGGUCGGAUUAGCUAGUUGGUGGGGUAAAGGCCUACCAAGGCGACGAUCCGUAACUGGUCUGAGAGGAUGAUCAGUCACACUGGAACUGAGACACGGUCCAGACUCCUACGGGAGGCAGCAGUGGGGAAUAUUGGACAAUGGGCGAAAGCCUGAUCCAGCCAUGCCGCGUGUGUGAAGAAGGUCUUCGGAUUGUAAAGCACUUUAAGUUGGGAGGAAGAGCAGUAAGUUAAUACCUUGCUGUUUUGACGUUACCAACAGAAUAAGCACCGGCUAACUUCGUG